CAGUAGCCGCGGUAAUACGAAGGGGGCUAGCGUUGUCCGGAUUUACUGGGCGUAAAGGGCGCGUAGGCGGGCGAAUAAGUCAGGGGUGAAAUCCCAAGGCUCAACCUUGGAACUGCCUUUGAUACUGUUUGUCUUGAGUCCGGGAGAGGUGAGUGGAACUGCGAGUGUAGAGGUGAAACUCGUAGAUAUUCGCAAGAACACCAGUGGCGAAGGCGGCUCACUGGCCCGGAACUGACGCUGAGGCGCGAAAGCGUGGGGAGCAAACAGGAUUAGAUACCCCCGUAGUCCCUGUCUCUUAUAC
rnacentral:rRNA from 1 species